UCUUCUGUUUUUCAGCAACAGCCAGAAGGUCAGAGCAAUCAUUCUGUACCCACUGCCGUGCAAACACCUUUGGCUUAAAUGCCAGUGUGCCAGAGUGGAGCCAGGAAGGGGGUAGGCAGAGAUGGUGGUCCUGUGCCACACAGUCUGUUCCAGGUGAUGGACACCUGGAUCCACCAAGAGGCGAUCCCAUCCAUUCCUGCCUUGUUUGCUCUGUCUCCAUCCCUUUAAAGAGUUUAAUUUUUUUCCAAGCUGGGGCAGUGUGCAACAGGCUGAGGCAGGAGGACCCCUACAGUUCUGAAGCCCACCCGAGCUGCUUCGUGAAGAUUAGGUCAGACUGGACCAUUGAACGAGACACUCUCUGGAAACAAAACAAAUAUCCCCAAAGCUUCUCCUCCAGAAUCUCUGUGAGUCUGUUCUGUAAAAGUCAUUUGCAGUAUCUAGAACUCAAGCUGCUCAGACAGCCUGAUGUGGCCCCUGCUAACUCUUCCCUGGCUUGCUUUGCACCACCGACUCCUGGUAAAACUGUAAAAUAAAUGUCAUGAAAACACACACACUCACAGAUCUCACCUGAGAGGGAAUCAGAAAGACAGUC